GAACGCUGGCGGCGUGGAUUAGGCAUGCAAGUCGAACGCGAAAGUUCCCUUCGGGGAGCGAGUAGAGUGGCGAAAGGGUGAGUAAUGCUUGGAUGACCUGCCCUCGAGACGGGGACAACAGUUCGAAAGGACUGCUAAUACCCGAUAGUCCGGUUUAGAUGCGUCUAGAUCGGUAAAUGGUGCUUCCGCUCGAGGAGGGGUUCAAGUCCUAUCAGCUUGUUGGUGAGGUAACGGCUCACCAAGGCGAUGACGGGUAGCCGGACUGAGAGGUUGGCCGGCCACAUGGGAACUGAGACACUGUCCUGACUCCUACGGGAGGCUGCAGUCGAGAAUCUUCUGCAAUGGGCGAAAGCCUGACAGAGCGACGCCGCGUGGAGGAUGAAGGCCCUCGGGUCGUAAACUCCUGUCACAUGUUAUGAAACGCACAGGUCUACCUGUGCGCUGACAAAAGCAUGAGAGGAAGUCACGGCUAACUUCGUG
rnacentral:rRNA from 1 species